rnacentral:rRNA from 1 species
AACUGGGGCUAAUACCUUAUAUGAAAAGGAAUCUGGAAAUGAUCUUUUUCUCAAGGAUUCUUCGCCUGAAGAAUGAGUCUGCGGCCGAUUAGGUAGUUGGCAGGGUAAUUGCCUACCAAGCCGAAAGAUCGGUACGGGUAGUGAGAGCUAUAGCCCGGAGAUGGGGACUGAGACACGGCCCCAGGUUCUACGGAACGCAGCAGGCGCGAAAACUUCGCAAUGCCCGAAAGGGUGACGGGGGAAUCCCAAGUGCCAGCGUUUUAACGUUGGCUUUUCUUAAGUGUAAGGAGCUUAAGGAAUAAGGAGAGGGCAAGGCUGGUGCCAGCCGCCGCGGUAAACCAGCUCUUCAAAUGGUGGCCGCUUUUAUUGGGCUUAAAGCGCCCGUAGCUGGAUUUGUAAGUCCUUGGCGAAAUUCUAUCGCCUAACGAUAGAGCCUGCUGAGGAUACUACUUAUCUCGAGACUGGGAGAGGCUAGAGGUACUCCAGGGGUAGGGGUGAAAUCCGUUAAUCCUUGGGGGACCACCUGUGGUGAAGACGUCUAGCUGGAACGGGUCUGACAGUGAGGGGCGAAACCCAGGGGAGCAAACUGGAUUAGAUACCCAGGUAGUCCUGGGCGUAAACGAUAUGGGCUAGGUGUCACGUGAUCUUAGUGG